AGGCAACGGGAUCAGAUUCCUACGGCAGAAAAUUUACCAAUGAACCGGAAGAGCCUUGGUGGCAUAAUUCUGAUAAGGGGAAUUCCGUGGCUGUUCGCAGAAGAGAACGAAUCGAUUCCAGAUCUGCUGCUGUACCAGUUAGGCACAAGGACCCCAUGGUCAAAGAGGAUAGAGUACCACCUAGCAGGAUGAAGAAGGAUGAAGAACUUUAUGCAGACAGAAGGUCGAUAGGUGAACCCCAGGAUUCAAUCAAAUUGAAGAUGCGUCCGACAAAUGAGCUUAGAGCUGGCAAGAUGGCAAGAGAGGAUUUUGGCAGGAAGAUUU